GAUGAACGCUGGCGGCGUGCUUAACACAUGCAAGUCGAACGAAGCACUUUAUUUGAUUUCCUUCGGGACUGAUUAUUUUGUGACUGAGUGGCGGACGGGUGAGUAACGCGUGGGUAACCUGCCUUGUACAGGGGGAUAACAGUUGGAAACGGCUGCUAAUACCGCAUAAGCGCACAGCAUCGCAUGAUGCAGUGUGAAAAACUCCGGUGGUAUAAGAUGGACCCGCGUUGGAUUAGCUAGUUGGUGAGGUAACGGCCCACCAAGGCGACGAUCCAUAGCCGACCUGAGAGGGUGACCGGCGACAUUGGGACUGAGACACGGCCCAAACUACUACGGGAGGCAGCAGUGGGGAAUAUUGCACAAUGGGCGAAAGCCUGAUGCAGCGACGCCGCGUGAGCGAAGAAGUAUUUCGGUAUGUAAAGCUCUAUCAGCAGGGAAGAUAAUGACGGUACCUGACGAAGAAGCACCGGCUAAAUACGUG
rnacentral:rRNA from 1 species